rnacentral:rRNA from 1 species
UACGUAGGGUGCAAGCGUUGUCCGGAAUUAUUGGGCGUAAAGAGCUCGUAGGUGGCCUGUCGCGUCGGCUGUGAAAACUCGGGGCUCAACUCCGAGCUUGCAGUCGAUACGGGCAGGCUAGAGUUCGGCAGGGGAGACUGGAAUUCCUGGUGUAGCGGUGAAAUGCGCAGAUAUCAGGAGGAACACCGGUGGCGAAGGCGGGUCUCUGGGCCGAUACUGACGCUGAGAAGCGAAAGCGUGGGGAGCGAACAGG